AGCCUCCAGUUCUCACCCAUCAGAUCUCAACAUUGGUCCUAGUGUUUACAAAAGGAAGAAAAGUAAAAUCAAAACUGACCUCAAGGCUUUUGUGGCAGACAGGCUAGUUUCAAACAAAC
rnacentral:snoRNA from 1 species